CCGCCCCAGAUUCCUUAGCCAUCAGAUCUAAACCUGGGUCUGAGUAGCUAGAGAAGGGGAAAAGUAAAACGGAUUUGGAUUCUUUUGUGACAUACAAGUUUGUUUCAAACAACA
rnacentral:snoRNA from 1 species